GCGUCUUUAGCUCAGCUGGAUAGAGCAACGCCCUUCUAAGGCGUGGGCCAGGAGUUCGAAUCUCUUAAGACGCACCAUAUCGGGGUGUGGCGCAGAUGGGAGCGCGCGUGGUUUGGGACCAUGAGGUCGCAGGUUCAAUCCCUGUCACCCCGA
rnacentral:tRNA from 1 species